UACGUAGGGUGCAAGCGUUGUCCGGAAUUAUUGGGCGUAAAGAGCUCGUAGGCGGUUUGUCGCGUCUGCUGUGAAAUCCCGAGGCUCAACCUCGGGCUUGCAGUGGGUACGGGCAGGCUAGAGUGCGGUAGGGGAGAUUGGAAUUCCUGGUGUAGCGGUGGAAUGCGCAGAUAUCAGGAAGAACACCGAUGGCGAAGGCAGGUCUCUGGGCCAUUACUGACACUGAGAAGCGAAAGCAUGGGGAGCGAACAGGAUUA
rnacentral:rRNA from 1 species